GUUCCUGUAGUGUAGUGGUUAUCACGUUUGCUUUACACGCAAAAGGUCUCUGGUUCGAAACCAGGCAGAAAUG
rnacentral:tRNA from 1 species